GGGAUUGCCUCAGUAACGGCGAGUGAAGCGGCAACAGCUCAAAUUUGAAAUCUGGCUCCUUCGGGGUCCGAGUUGUAAUUUGUAGAGGGUGCUUCGAGCGAAGCCCCGGCCCAAGUCCCUUGGAACAGGACGUCAGAGAGGGUGAGAACCCCGUGUCCGGCCGGUGGCGCUCCUCGUGUGAAGCCCCUUCGACGAGUCGAGUUGUUUGGGAAUGCAGCUCUAAAUUGGUGGUAAAUUCCAUCUAAAGCUAAAUACCGGCCAGAGACCGAUAGCGCACAAGUAGAGUGAUCGAAAGAUGAAAAGCACUUUGAAAAGAGAGUUAAAAAGUACGUGAAAUUGUUGAAAGGGAAGCGCUUGCGGCCAGACUUGCCCGCGGAUGUUCAGCCCGUCUUCUGGCGGGUGCACUCUUCCGCGGUCAGGCCAGCAUCGGUUUCGGCGGUCGGACAAAGGCCUUGGGAACGUGGCCCCCCUCGGGGGGUGUUAUAGCCCUGGGUGCAAUGCGGCCAGCCGGGACCGAGGAUCGCGCUCUGCUAGGAUGCUGGCGUAAUGGCCGUAAGCGG
rnacentral:rRNA from 1 species